rnacentral:rRNA from 1 species
UGGCGGCAGGCUUAACACAUGCAAGUCGAGCGGUAGCAGAUCUAGCUUGCUAGAUGCUGACGAGCGGCGGACGGGUGAGUAACGCGUAGGAACCUGCCCAGUGGUGGGGGAUAGCCCGGGGAAACUCGGAUUAAUACCGCAUACGCUCUACGGAGGAAAAGAGGGGGCUUCGGCUCUCGCUAUUGGAUGGGCCUGCGUGAGAUUAGCUAGUUGGUGAGGUAAUGGCUCACCAAGGCGACGAUCUCUAGCUGGUCUGAGAGGAUGAUCAGCCACACUGGGACUGAGACACGGCCCAGACUCCUACGGGAGGCAGCAGUGGGGAAUAUUGCACAAUGGGCGCAAGCCUGAUGCAGCCAUGCCGCGUGUGUGAAGAAGGCUUUCGGGUUGUAAAGCACUUUCAGUGGGGAGGAAGGCCUCGUAGUUAAUAGCUGCGAGGAUUGACGUUACCCACAGAAGAAGCACCGGCUAACUCCGUG